UGCGGGGGGGGCAAGCGUUGUUCGGAAUUACUGGGCGUAAAGGGCUCGUAGGCGGCCAACUAAGUCCGACGUGAAAUCCCCAAGCUUAACUUGGGAACUGCGUCGGAUACUGGAUGGCUUGAAUUCGGGAGAGGGAUGCAGAAUUCCAGGUGUAGCGGUGAAAUGCGUAGAUAUCUGGAGGAAUACCGGUGGCGAAGGCGGCAUCCUGGACCGACAUUGACGCUGAGGAGCGAAAGCUAGGGGAGCAAACGGG
rnacentral:rRNA from 1 species